UCCAGAGGCCUUUUAAGUUCAGGCUCUUAAUUCGAGUUAGGCUUUGUUUGGGAUUGCAGAGAGAUUGCGAGAUUGCGUUACGUGCGGUGAAAAAGUACGUUGAAAAAAAAUUCUGUUUGUUUCUGUACGUAAUAUCGCAUUUCGCAUAUUGUAAUGAAUCAGUUACGAUAUACUUUCUACGGUCCCACCGGAGAACGCAGAAGCAUAUUCCUAUAUGCUUUUUUUUCAACUCCAUUUUAUCUAAUAGCGAUAGAUAGAUUUCAAUAUCAAACUAAACCUUAGUCAAUCUGUUUCAUGGAUUAGCUUGAUAUUCAAUAUGAUAUUCG
rnacentral:lncRNA from 1 species